GACGAACCGUCCGAACGUUAUUCGGAAUCACUGGGCUUAAAGGGUGCGUAGGCGGCGCGGAAAGUUGGGUGUGAAAUCCCUCGGCUUAACCGAGGAACUGCGCCCAAAACUACCGUGCUCGAGGGAGAUAGAGGUGAGCGGAACUUAGGGUGGAGCGGUGAAAUGCGUUGAUAUCCUAAGGAACACCGGUGGCGAAAGCGGCUCACUGGAUCUCUUCUGACGCUGAGGCACGAAAGCUAGGGUAGUGAACGGG
rnacentral:rRNA from 1 species